rnacentral:rRNA from 1 species
AAAGCUCUGACCUUACGGGAAGAGUGCACUUAUUAGAACAAAACCAAGCGGCCUCACGGUCGUUUUUUGUUGACUCAGAAUAAUUAAGCUGAUCGCAUGGUCUUGUACCGGCGACGUGUCUUUCAAGUAUCUGCCUUAUCAACUUUCGAUGGUAGUGUAUCUGACUACCAUGGUGGUGACGGGUAACGGAGGAUAAGGGUUUGACUCCGGAGAAGGGGCCUGAGAAAUGGCCACUACGUCUAAGGAUGGCAGCAGGCGCGCAAAUUACCCACUCUCAGAACGAGGAGGUAGUGACGAAAAAUAACGAGACCGUUCUCUACGAGGCCGGUCAUCGGAAUGGGUACAAUCUAAACCCUUUAACGAGUAUCUAUGAGAGGGCAAGUCUGGUGCCAGCAGCCGCGGUAAUUCCAGCUCUCAAAAUGCAUAGAAUUAUUGCUGCGGUUAAAAAGCUCGUAGUUGGAUCUGUGUCAGGGACUUGGUCCACCUUCGGGUGCGCACUGAGCUCCCUGGCUUUGCUGCCGGUUUUCCCAUCAUGGCUUUAAUCGGCUGUGGUGGGUGGCUGGUGAUUUUACUUUGAACAAAUCAGAGUGCUUCAAACAGGCGUUUCGCUUGAAUGUUCGCGCAUGGAAUAAUAGAAGAGGAUUUCGGUUCUAUUUUAUUGGUUUUAUAGACUGAAAUAAUGGUUAACAGAGACAAACGGGGGCAUUCGUAUCGCUGCGUGAGAGGUGAAAUUCUUGGACCGCAGCGAGACGAACUACAGCGAAAGCAUUUGCCAAGAAUGUCUUCAUUAAUCAAGAACGAAAGUCAGAGGUUCGAAGGCGAUCAGAUACCGCCCUAGUUCUGACCGUAAACGAUGCCAACUAGCGAUCUGCCGGUGGAAUUUUUGCCCUGGUAGGGAGCUUCCCGGAAACGAAAGUCUUCCGGUUCCGGGGGAAGUAUGGUUGCAAAGCUGAAACUUAAAGGAAUUGACGGAAGGGCACCACCAGGAGUGGAGCCUGCGGCUUAAUUUGACUCAACACGGGAAAACUCACCCGGCCCGGACACCGUAAGGAUUGACAGAUUGAUAGCUUUUUCAUGAUUCGGUGGAUGGUGGUGCAUGGCCGUUCUUAGUUCGUGGAGCGAUUUGUCUGGUUUAUUCCGAUAACGAGCGAGACUCUAGCCUACUAAAUAGUCUGCACAUUGCUUCUGUG